GUGUGUGCCUGUAAGGGCGUGUGGUGGAUGCCUUGGCAGACAGUGCCGAUGAAGGACGUGUGGGGCCGCGAUAGUCCUCGGGGAGCCGCCGACAGGGCUUUGAUCCGAGGGUGUCCGAAUGGGGAAACCCGCCGGCUGUUGUGGGCCGGCACCAGCUUUCGGGCUGGGGGGUACGCAGGGAAGUGAAACAUCUCAGUACCUGCAGGAAAGGAAACUCCGUGAGUAGUGGCGAGCGAAAGCGGAUGAGGCUAAACCGUGCGCGUGUGAUACCCGUCGGGGGUUGCGCGCACGGGGUCGUGGGACGACCUGUGCACAUGCCGACGCGUGUGCCGCCAGUGAGAAAACCGUGUGUGAGGUGAACCGGGUUGGAUACCGGGCCGUAGAGGGUGAUGGCCCCGUAACCGAACGCGCAUGGUCUGGCGAGUGGUUGUUCCCGAGUAGCGCGGGCCUCGUGGAAUCCCGUGUGAAUCAGCCCGGACCGUCGGGUAAGCCUAAGUAUGAGUGUCUGACCGAUAGUGAACCAGUACCGUGAGGGAAAGGUGAAAAGCACCCCGGGAGGGGAGUGAAACAGUUCCUGAAACCGUGCGCUUACAAACCGUCGGAGCCUUCCUUUGGGGGGUGACGGCGUGCCUAUCGAAAAAUGAGUCUGCGAGUCAGUGGCAGGUGGCGAGCAUAAGCCUUGUGGCGGAUGCGUAGCGAAAGCGAGUCUUAAAAGGCGUCUUGAGUCGCUUGUCCUGGACCCGAAGCGGGAUGAUCUAGCCCUGGGCAGGUUGAAGCGCGGGUAAGACCGCGUGGAGGACCGCACCCACUUAGGUUGAAAACUGAGGGGAUGACCUGGGGUUAGGGGUGAAAGGCCAAUCAAAUUCCGUGAUAGCUGGUUCUCUCCGAAAUGCAUUUAGGUGCAGCGUCGGUUGAUUGCAUGCGGGGGGUAGAGCUACUGGAUGCUCGCGGGCCCGUACUGGGUACCAAUAGCAGCCAAACUCCGAAUACCCGUCAUGUGUAUUCCGGCAGUGAGUCGGCGGGGGAUAAGCUCCGUCGUCGAGAGGGAGACAGCCCGGACCGUCGUCUAAGGUCCCCAAGCGCGUGCUAAGUGGGAAAGGAUGUGGAGUCGCAUAGACAGCCAGGAGGUUGGCUCAGAAGCAGCCAUCCUUGAAAGAGUGCGUAACAGCUCACUGGUCUAGUGGUUCCGCGCCGACAAUGUAGCGGGGCUCAAGCACGCCACCGAAGACGCGGCAGCAGGCGUUUGCUUGCUGGGUAGGAGAGCGUCCUGCAUGGGGUGAAGCCGCGGGGUGACCCGUGGUGGACCGUGCGGGAGUGAGAAUGCAGACAUGAGUAGCGAAAGCGGGGUGAAGAUCCCCGCCGCUGGACGACCAAGGGUUCCAGGGCCACGUUCAUCGUCCCUGGGUGAGUCGGGUCCUAAGGCGAGGCCGACAGGCGUAGUCGAAUGGAUGAACGGGUUGAUAUUCCCGUACCGGCACGCGACCGACCAACGCCGCUUUCCUGGAAGGCCGCUUCCCCGGCCGGCCGGGUCCGCUUUCGGGCGGUCCCGGGUGUUCGGGGUCGUGGCUCGGACGGGUUGGUGGUGAGCGCGGGAGUGACACGGACCGGUAGCCUGCCGCGGAGGUGGUUUUCCGUGGCCAAGCAUGUGGCCUGUCCCCCAGGCAAAUCCGGGGGAUGUUCAAGGUGAGGUGUGAUGGUGGGCGCCCUUGUGGCGUGAUAUCAGGUGAUCCGGUCCGUCAAGAAAAGCUUCGGCGUCAGGGCGCGUUGCCGCUCGUACCCCAAACCGACACAGGUGGUCAGGUAGAGUAUACCGAAGCGAUCGAGUGAAUCCUGGUCAAGGAACUCGGCAAAUUGCUCCCGUGCCUUCGGCAUAAGGGAGACCCCCCGGCGUGGAGGGCCCUUCGCGGCCUUUGAGCGUUGGGGGGUGGCACAAGCCAGGGGGUAGCGACUGUUUACCAAAAACACAGGUGCAUGCGAAGACGCAAGUCGCUGUAUAUGCACUGACGCCUGCCCGGUGCCGGAAGGUUAAGAGGAUCCGUCAACCAUAUUGUUUGGUGAAGCGGUGAAUUCAAGCCCCGGUAAACGGCGGUGGUAACUAUAACCAUCCUAAGGUAGCGAAAUUCCUUGUCGGGUAAGUUCCGACCUGCACGAAUGGCGUAACGACUUCCCCGCUGUCUCGACCAGGAACUCGGCGAAAUUGCAGUACGAGUAAAGAUGCUCGUUAAGCGCAGAAGGACGAAAAGACCCCGGGACCUUUACUAUACCUUGGUAUUGGUACCAGGUGCGGAUUGUGUAGCAUAGGCGGGAGGCUGUGAAGCACGGGCGCCAGCCCGUGUGGAGCCGGCAAGUGAAAUACCGCUCUGUCCCCAUCUGGUGCCUCACCUCGGCAUGUCAUCCAUGCCAGGGACAGUGCCUGGCGGGUAGUUUAACUGGGGCGGUUGCCUCCCAAAGAGUAACGGAGGCGCUCAAAGGUCCGCUCAGCCCGGUUGGCAAUCGGGUGUCGAGUGUAAUCGCACAAGCGGGCUUGACUGUGAGAACGACGGUUCGAGCAGGGACGAAAGUCGGAGAUAGUGAUCCGGUGCCGGCGUACGGACGCGGCAUCGCUCAACGGAUAAAAGGUACCCCGGGGAUAACAGGCUGAUCAUUCCCAAGAGUCCAUAUCGACGGGAUGGUUUGGCACCUCGAUGUCGGCUCGUCGCAUCCUGGGGCUGGAGCAGGUCCCAAGGGUUCGGCUGUUCGCCGAUUAAAGCGGCACGCGAGCUGGGUUCAGAACGUCGUGAGACAGUUUGGUCUCUAUCCUCUGCGCUCGUUGGAAUCUUGAGGAGACCUGCCCAUAGUACGAGAGGACCUGGGUGGACGAACCUCUGGUAUGCCAGUUGUCGCGCCAGCGGCAUGGCUGGUUGGCCACGUUCGGAAGGGAUAACCGCUGAAAGCAUCUAAGCGGGAAGCCCGCUCCAAGAUAAGGAUUCCGUACACAUUCACGUGUUGAAGGCCCCAUAUGAGACCAUGUGGUGGAUAGACCGGACGUGGAAGCCCCGCGAGGGGUGGAGCUGACCGGCACUAACGGCCGAACGCACACACAC
rfam:Bifidobacterium gallicum DSM 20093 = LMG 11596 strain DSM 20093 B_gallicum-1.0.1_Cont3.1, whole genome shotgun sequence.